CAUCAAAUCGUACCCCAAACCGACACAGGUGGUCAGGUAGAGAAUACCAAGGCGCUUGAGAGAACUCGGGUGAAGGAACUAGGCAAAAUGGUGCCGUAACUUCGGGAGAAGGCACGCUGGUGUGUAGGUGAAGUCCCUGCGGAUGGAGCUGAGACCAGUCGAAGAUACCAGCUGGCUGCAACUGUUUAUUAAAAACACAGCACUGUGCAAACACGAAAGUGGACGUAUACGGUGUGACGCCUGCCCGGUGCCGGAAGGUUAAUUGAUGGGGUUAUCCGUAAGGAGAAGCUCUUGAUCGAAGCCC
rnacentral:rRNA from 1 species